AGUGAACGCUGGCGGUAGGCCUAACACAUGCAAGUCGAACGGCAGCACAGUAAGAGCUUGCUCUUACGGGUGGCGAGUGGCGGACGGGUGAGGAAUACAUCGGAAUCUACUUUUUCGUGGGGGAUAACGUAGGGAAACUUACGCUAAUACCGCAUACGACCUACGGGUGAAAGAAGGGGAUCUUCGGACCUUGCGCGAUUGAAUGAGCCGAGGUCGGAUUAGCUAGUUGGCGGGGUAAAGGCCCACCAAGGCGACGAUCCGUAGCUGGUCUGAGAGGAUGAUCAGCCACACUGGAACUGAGACACGGUCCAGACUCCUACGGGAGGCAGCAGUGGGGAAUAUUGGACAAUGGGCGCAAGCCUGAUCCAGCCAUACCGCGUGGGUGAAGAAGGCCUUCGGGUUGUAAAGCCCUUUUGUUGGGAAAGAAAAGCAGCAGGUUAAUACCCCGCUGUUCUGACGGUACCCAAAGAAUAAGCACCGGCUAACUUCGUG
rnacentral:rRNA from 1 species